AUGGCCGUCGACCUCAUGGGUUGCGGCUACGCCCCGUAUGGCCACGCGGCCGAGGCCGAGGAGCAGUUCCAGGAGGCCGCUGCCGCGGGGCUCCGCAGCCUCGAGCUCGUCAUCUCCUCCUUCUCCUUCGGCGCCGGCUGCACGCCGCCCCUCGGAGAGAUGGCCGACCAGGCGGUGUCCAGGUUCCGCCGGGUCAUCAACAUCCUCGACCGCACCGGCCACGCCCGCUUCCGCCGCGGCCCUGUUGGAGAUGCCGCCGACUCGUUGACUCCCCCUCCUGAAUCCUCUGCUCCUCCUCCGAUGCCGGCCCAGGCACCGGCACCGGCACCGGCUGUCUCGCCGCAGCUGGCGCCGCAGAAAAGCAUGACGCUGGACUUCACGAAGCCUUUGAAGGCGCCGGCGGCGGCCUCGGCUGCCGCGCCUUCGGUGACGUCGACUUCUUUCUUCUCGUCCGUGACGGCGGGGGGCGAGGGCAGCGUGUCGAAGGGCUGGAGCCAGCUGGUGUCCUCCGGCAAGCCGCCGCUCCCGGCUGGGACCAAACGCAAGCAACGCCAACAGCAGACGCGCUGCGCGCACUCCGACGCCGCCGCCGCGGGUGGCCGGUGCCACUGCUCGAAGAAGCGCAAGAACCGGGCGAAGUACACGACGCGCGUGCCCACAGUAACCUCGGGCGCGGCGGACAUCCCCGGCGUCGGCGACAAGUACUCGUGGCGCAAGUACGGGCAGAAGACCAUCAAGGGGUCCCCUCACCCCCGCUGCUACUAUAGGUGCGGCACCGUCAAGGGGUGCCCGGCACGGAAGCACGUGGAGCGCGCCACCGACGACCCCGCCAUGCUCGUCGUCACCUACGAGGGCGACCACUGCCACGACACUUGGCCGCCGGCCGCCGCAAAUUAA
rnacentral:rRNA from 1 species